CAAUAGCGUAUAUUAAAGCUGUUGCGGUUAAAAAGCUCGUAGUUGGAUUUCUGUCAAGGACAACUGGUCCGCCCUCCGGGUGAGCACAUAGUUUGGUCUUGGCAUCUUGCUGGAAACUGUUGCUGCACUUGGUUGUGUGGCGCAGCAUCCAGCACUUUCACUUUGAGGAAAUUGGAGUGUUUCAAGCAGGCACAUGCCUUUGGACACAGUAGCAUGGAAUAAUUAGAUUGGGCUUUGCUCCAAUUUGUCGGUUUCUGGAGCUGAGGUGAGAAUUAAUGGGGAUUGUUGGGGGCAUCCGAAUUUAGCCGUCAGAGGUGAAAUUCUUGGAUCUGCUAAAGACGGACAACUGCGAAAGCGUUUGCCCAGGAUGUUUUCAUUG
rnacentral:rRNA from 1 species